UACCCACAAUCCUUUGCUCUUUUCAGACAGUCAAGCUAAUGCGCACCGGGAAAUUCAGCAGUGAAGGCAUGGCACAUGUAUUCUCCAUUCUAUUCAUCUACUCCUAUGACAAGGUCUAGAAUUAAUUUAAGUAGUGCAGAUGAAACUUAUUUUCAUUGUAUUUCGUAGCAUGAACUAAUGUGUGAACUGGUUUUGCUCCAUCUAUAAGAACAAGUAAAAGAUUGACUCUUACGCCUUAUUAUCCGGAUGCCCUGCUAUUGCUCAAUU
ensembl:lncRNA